GAUGAACGCUAGCGGCAGGCCUAACACAUGCAAGUCGAGGGGUAGAGUUCUUCGGGACUUGAGACCGGCGCACGGGUGCGUAACGCGUAUGCAAUCUACCUUAUACAGGGGAAUAGCCCAGAGAAAUUUGGAUUAAUGCCCCAUAGUGUUAUCGAAUCGCAUGGUUUGAUAACUAAAGUUCCAACGGUAUAAGAUGAGCAUGCGUCCCAUUAGUUAGUUGGUAAGGUAACGGCUUACCAAGACAAUGAUGGGUAGGGGUCCUGAGAGGGAGAUCCCCACACUGGUACUGAGACACGGACCAGACUCCUACGGGAGGCAGCAGUGAGGAAUAUUGGUCAAUGGGCGCAAAGCCUGAACCAGCCAUGCCGCGUGCAGGGAAGAACGGGUCCUAUGGAUUGUAAAACUGCUUUUAUUUGGGGAAUAAAACCUCUUUACGUGUAGAGAGCUGAAGGUACCAAAUGAAUAAGACACCGGCUAAACUCCGUG
rnacentral:rRNA from 1 species